AGCUUGCUCUUUCCAGAAUUGAGUGGCAAACGGGUGAGUAACACGUAAACAACCUGCCUUCAGGGUGGGGACAACAGACGGAAACGACUGCUAAUACCGAAUAAGUUCCAAGAGCCGCAUGGCCCAUGGAAGAAAAGGUGGCCUCUACCUGUAAGCUAUCGCCUGAAGAGGGGUUUGCGUCUGAUUAGCUGGUUGGAGGGGUAACGGCCCACCAAGGCGACGAUCCAUAGCCGGCCUGAGAGGGUGAUCGGCCACAUUGGAACUGAGACACGGUCCAAACUCC
rnacentral:rRNA from 1 species